GACGAACGCUGGCGGCGUGCCUAAUACAUGCAAGUUGAGCGAUGAAGCUUGGUGCUUGCUCCAAUUUGAAGAGCAGCGAACGGGUGAGUAACGCGUGGGGAAUCUGCCUUUGAGCGGGGGACAACAUUUGGAAACGAAUGCUAAUACCGCAUAACAACUUUAAACAUAAGUUUUAAGUUUGAAAGAUGCAAUUGCAUCACUCAAAGAUGAUCCCGCGUUGUAUUAGCUAGUUGGUGAGGUAAAGGCUCACCAAGGCGAUGAUACAUAGCCGACCUGAGAGGGUGGACGGCCACAUUGGGACUGAGACACGGCCCAAACUCCUACGGGAGGCAGCAGGAGGGAAUCUUCGGCAAUGGACGGAAGGCUGACCGAGCAACGCCGCGUGAGUGAAGAAGGUUUUCGGAUCGUAAAAAUCCGUUGGUAGGGAAGAACGUUGGUGAGAGUGGAAAGCUCAUCAAGUGACGGUAACUACCCAGAAAGGGACGGCUAACUACGUG
rnacentral:rRNA from 1 species